rnacentral:snoRNA from 1 species
GCGACGCGGCGUGUCUAUGUUCCUAAAAGGCGGUCUGGCUGUGAUGCUCAAUGCACAGUAAUUAACCGCAACGUCGCAGAUCAAAUUGCCCUUCGGGUGGCGAUUUGUGAUAUAUUCCACUAACUGUUUGUAGCCGCUUAGGUCAUGACCAUGCAGUUAAACCAUAUCACAGACAUUC